rnacentral:lncRNA from 1 species
AAGAUAGUUUUGGCAACGGCGAGGAGAAAAAGGAGUUGAGUUUUGUAGCGGAAUUAGCAUGAGUGGCUGGUCUUGACCUAGGUGCGCAAAUGGAAGCAAAUGAUUUUUUAAGAUGUGGCGGAGCCCUGGGGAUUUGGUCUCAACGGUGGAGAGUUUUGGAAGCCAUCAAGUUCAAGAGAAUUACGGCUUUGGGGUGGGCUGACUGAC